rnacentral:rRNA from 1 species
GACGAACGCUGGCGGCGUGCUUAACACAUGCAAGUCGAACGAUGAAGCCGGAGCUUGCUCUGGUGAAUUAGUGGCGAACGGGUGAGUAACACGUGAGUAACCUGCCCUUGACUCUGGGAUAACUGCUAGAAAUGGUAGCUAAUACCGGAUACGACCCUCGGAGGCAUCUCCAGGGGGUGGAAAGAAUUUCGGUCAAGGAUGGACCCGCGGCCUAUCAGCUAGUUGGUGAGGUAACGGCUCACCAAGGCGACGACGGGUAGCCGGCCUGAGAGGGUGGCCGGCCACACUGGGACUGAGACACGGCCCAGACUCCUACGGGAGGCAGCAGUGGGGAAUAUCGCACAAUGGGCGCAAGCCUGAUGCAGCAACGCCGCGUGAGGGAUGACGGCCUUCGGGUUGUAAACCUCUUUUAGUAGGGAAGAAGCGAAAGUGACGGUACCUGCAGAAAAAGCACCGGCUAACUACGUGCCAGCAGCCGCAGUAA